CUCUCUCUCACACACACACACACACACUUUACGCCUGUCUGCAUGUAAGACCUCUCAAGCUGAGUUCGAUCGAUGCGGUACAGACCCAGACAAUCCUUCAACAAAAGGAUGACGGAUGAGGAAGUAAACAAGUUUGCGCGUGUGUCGAAACAUGGAUUUGAGUUGUGGUAUGUGUAAUGAAUAUGGCACGCCACUGCACAGCAACAGGGAUUCAUUCCAGUGCACCCGUCGUGGGGUUUCCAUGGAGGGUCACGGGGAAACUGGAGCCUGUCCCACGGAACCUGGAACAUGAGGCAGGGGACAUGCUGGACGGCGUGCCAAUCCAUCGCAGGACAAAAUCACACACCACGGACAAUUCGGAAAUGCCAAUCGGCAUACAACGCAUGUCUUUGGACUGGGGAAGGAAACCAGAGUACCCGGAGGAACCCCCUGAAGCACGUCGAGAACAUACAAACCCCGUGCAAGAGACAGGACUUGAACUCCCAACUCUGGAAGUGCGAGGCAAGCGUGCUAACCACUAAGCCACUGUGCUCCCCCUAUGAUGAUCUUUCCAUGUGAAAAUACCGAUGUAACUUUUGGACUCAUAUCCAUCCAUCCAUCCAUCUUCUAUACCGCUUAAUCCUUUUCAGGGUCACAGGGAAACCUGAAGCCUAUCCCAGGGAGCAUCGGGCACAAGGCGGGGUACACCCUGGACAGGGUGCCAAUCCAUCGCAGGGCUGGACUUAUAUUCCAACUUUAAGUACAGACCAAUCUGCUCAUACUGAACAUCCUUUUAACACACUUAGUACUCGUCGUCUUUACUCUUCUACACCUGUAUACUGUAAUGAAUUCUAAUCCCACUAUUCAGUGCCACCUUUUUAAAAAUCUGCUUCCUCCCAAGCGUCCUUCCUCAUAUCGUCUUAGUGAGUUUUUCCUUGCCACCCUGGACCUACUGCAUUAAAGGCUUACAUGCAACUGUUCAAAUUCACAUUGAAAAGAAGAGAAUGGAAAGCCAGUCGUUGUGCUUCCUGUUGCACAUUUGAAAAUAUUGUUUAUUCUCUAUCCAUCCAUCACCUAAAGAGAGUCAAGAGUAAAUGUUUAUCUGGCCAAGCGGUUUAACUACAAGCACAUCCCUGUGCUUUAUACACCAGUCCUGACUGCUGUGUCUAACACCUGGGUGUUGUCUCCUCUCAGAGACAUCGACCUCUUUUGUGCACCUACACCAGUGGAAUAACAACACACAUCCUUUAUACCGUCUUUUCCUGGCGGCCAUGUACUAAUGAAUAGGUACACUACAGAAAAGUCUCAGAUGAGAUGAGUGUCACAAAUAGAACCAGCCGAGUGUGACUCCGACUUUAAACUCCUGCUUUAAAGACGAAUACCUGAGGCGCAGAGUCACAGGGGGAGCUGAUAAUUGUAGGAAAACGAGGGGUGCAUAGUUGCAGGUAGAAAUAUUUGCCGUAAAGAGGACCUGAUUAUCAUUUUCAUGCAAGCACAGUCAGUCCUGUCUGCAAAUUUCAUCUAUUUGCUGAAGAAUAGAGCACAGAGGAAGGAUAGACCUCUGCAAAUGUUAACAUUCCAGCAGCAUACAUACAAAAGUUGCGAAAGCGGGAGGGGAGGAAACAAUCGGGUUCAGAGACAUGGAUCCAAAAGAGUAGCACUGGAAAUGAUUCUGCAUUAUUAUAUGGCUGCCUCCUUGCUAAGCCUCUCACAUAUUAAGAGCCACAGAGUUCAGAGCAUCCAUCUAUGUCGAAAUGCGAAGGGUUUAGUGCACGGCUACGUGGCAGCAUCCACCAGUGCACACGGUAACACACGGUAAUAGAAACCGCUCGGUAAUUAAAUAAAUUGGAGAUUAGAACAAGUCUAGUGUGGAAGUGAUGUUACUGCAGCAAUCCAGCCAUGGUAGCACAUCAUUGCUCCCUUAACACCAUAACUGGAUUAUUCCUUUAUAAUGCAAAUGACUUUGUGCAUUAUAAAUGAAUAAUAACGCAACAAUUCAGCUGAAUGAAUGCCUAACCAUAAACGAGACUGGGAAAAGAAUUCCCGAAGCAUUUUCUUUUUUUAUUAUUCAGGAAGGAGAUUGAGACUAAAGCCUGGAAAUUUGUGAGACGGGGCUUUACGAAGCGUUUAGGAUUUGUUGCUCGAACGGAAGAUUACAUUUCUCAGCAAAAUGGAUCAAUCUCAUGCAGCAUCCCAAAACAGUAUCGUAUCUAUAUGCCUGUUUACAGCAAGUACG
ensembl:lncRNA